rnacentral:rRNA from 1 species
GGACGAACGCUGGCGGCGUGCCUAAUACAUGCAAGUAGAACGCUGAAGGAGGAGCUUGCUUCUCUGGAUGAGUUGCGAACGGGUGAGUAACGCGUAGGUAACCUGCCUGGUAGCGGGGGAUAACUAUUGGAAACGAUAGCUAAUACCGCAUAAUAGUAGAUGUUGCAUGACAUUUGCUUAAAAGGUGCAAUUGCAUCACUACCAGAUGGACCUGCGUUGUAUUAGCUAGUUGGUGGGGUAACGGCUCACCAAGGCGACGAUACAUAGCCGACCUGAGAGGGUGAUCGGCCACACUGGGACUGAGACACGGCCCAGACUCCUACGGGAGGCAGCAGUAGGGAAUCUUCGGCAAUGGACGGAAGUCUGACCGAGCAACGCCGCGUGAGUGAAGAAGGUUUUCGGAUCGUAAAGCUCUGUUGUAAGAGAAGAACGAGUGUGAGAGUGGAAAGUUCACACUGUGACGGUAUCUUACCAGAAAGGGACGGCUAACUACGUG